rnacentral:lncRNA from 1 species
UUGGGUACUACAGAAAUUGGUAAAAAAAAAAGAAAAAUAAGAAGUUAAAAAUAGCUUCUUCAAUUGUUUUUUGAAAAAUAGGGUCAGCAAUAUGCAAUUCUCUAGUACGAAGUGUAUUACAAAAGAAUGAGAUGGAAGGAAUCGAUAACAUCGGGAAAAUUAGGUACCUAACUCCAAAGAUUCAAGCAUAUUAUUCUAAAGUAUCCUACCCUGACAUAAGUCACACUAGAACC